rnacentral:rRNA from 1 species
GACAGAGGAUGCAAGCGUUAUCCGGAAUGAUUGGGCGUAAAGCGUCUGUAGGUGGCUUUUCAAGUCCGCCGUCAAAUCCCAGGGCUCAACCCUGGACAGGCGGUGGAAACUACCAAGCUGGAGUACGGUAGGGGCAGAGGGAAUUUCCGGUGGAGCGGUGAAAUGCGUAGAUAUCGGAAGGAACACCGGUGGCGAAAGCGGCGCGCUGGAUCCCUACUGACGCUGAGGCACGAAAGCCAGGGGAGCAAACGGG